CCUACGGGUGGCAGCAGUGGGGAAUCUUCCGCAAUGGGCGAAAGCCUGACGGCGCAACGCCGCGUGAUCGAAUGACGGCCUUCGGGUUGUAAAAAUCUGUUGACAGGGACGAAUAAGCAAUGCAAAUAGUGUUGUGUAUGACGGUACCUGUUUAGACAGCUCCGGCUAACUACGUGCCAGCAGCCGCGGUAAUACGUAGGGAGCAAGCGUUGUCCGGAAUUACUGGGCGUAAAGGGCGCGUAGGUGGGCGCUUAAGUCAGGUGUGAAAACGCCGGGCUCAACCUGGAGACUGCAAUUGAAACUGGGUGUCUUGAGGGCAGGAGAGGAAAGUGGAAUUCCGAGUGUAGCGGUGAAAUGCGUAGAUAUUAGGAGGAACACCAGUGGCGAAGGCGACUUACUGGACUGUAACUGACACUGAGGCACGAAAGCGUGGGGAGCAAACAGGAUUAGAUACCCCUGUAGUC
rnacentral:rRNA from 1 species